rnacentral:lncRNA from 1 species
UUUUAGAGUAGAAAAUAGAGUGAUGAACAAAAAAAAAAACAAAUUACUCUAUAUUUAGAGUAAACCUAUUUUUCACUCUAUUAUAGAAUGAGAAAAAAUUGUACUAUUAGAGCAUUUUUAAUUCUAAACUUAGUGAAAAAUAAAGUAGAGUUGGAAAUGCUUUUAAUUGGUUUUGGAGAGGGUCAGUAGAACAGAAGCCCUUAAAUGGAGCAGAAGUUCUUAUGAGGCACAAUCUACCGCAACAGUUAUCCAUAAAUUAUCGGCCCGGUUUGUUUUCUUUAUGGUUGGGUUUGAGUCUUAUCUAGAAUGUUUGG